CCUACGGGGUGCAGCAGUCGAGAAUCAUUCACAAUGGGGGAAACCCUGAUGGUGCGACGCCGCGUGGGGGAAUGAAGGUCUUCGGAUUGUAAACCCCUGUCAUGUGGGAGCAAAUUAAAAAGAUAGUACCACAAGAGGAAGAGACGGCUAACUCUGUGCCAGCAGCCGCGGUAAUACAGAGGUCUCAAGCGUUGUUCGGAAUCACUGGGCGUAAGGCGUGCGUAGGCAGUUUCGUAAGUCGGGUGUGAAAGGCGCGGGCUCAACCCGCGGACGGCACAUGAUACAGCGAGACUAGAGUAAUGGAGAGGGAAGCGGAAUUCUCGGUGUAGCAGUGAAAUGCGUAGAUAUCGAGAGGAACACUCGUGGCGAAGGCGGGUUCCUGGACAUUAACUGACGCUGAGGCACGAAGGCCAGGGGAGCGAAAGGGAUUAGAUACCCCUGUAGUC
rnacentral:rRNA from 1 species